CCUACGGGAGGCAGCAGUGAGGAAUAUUGGUCAAUGGGCGUAAGCCUGAACCAGCCAAGUCGCGUGAGGGAUGAAGGUUCUAUGGAUCGUAAACCUCUUUUAUCAGGGAAUAAAGUGUGGGACGGGUCCUAUUUUGUAUGUACCUUAUGAAUAAGGAUCGGCUAACUCCGUGCCAGCAGCCGCGGUAAUACGUAGGAUCCGGGCGUUAUCCGGAUUUAUUGGGUUUAAAGGGGGCGUAGGCGGCCUUUUAAGUCAGCGGGUAAAGUUUGUGGGUCAACCAUGGAAUUGCCGUUGAAACUGGGGGGCUUGAGUAGGUUAGAGGGAGGCGGAAUGAGUGGUGUAGCGGUGACAUGCAUAGAUAUCACGCAGAACCCCGAUUGCGAAGGCAGCCUGCCAAGCCAUGACUGACGCUGAUGCACGAAAGCGUGGGGAUCAAACAGGAUUAGAUACCCCAGUAGUC
rnacentral:rRNA from 1 species